ensembl:lncRNA
CACAAAUUAAUACAUACCAAUACGAAACAUUAACAUAUCAAACUAAUUGGAGGGAACCAGAUUUACCUUUACUAUGUUGUGUCUACCCCUGAGUCCAGGUUUCUCAGGCAUGCUCCUAGACCUCCUGUUGACUUCUAUGGCUGCCUCUUCUCUCUCCUCCUCAUCUUUGGACCACCCUUCCUGUCCUGUGUUCCCCUGGCCUGCUGUCCUGCUCCACAUGGGGUUGAUGCAGAUCUGGAAGGUGAUGGAGGAGAGGACCUGCUGCGUUUCAGACUUCAGCGGGCGGCCCCUAACUCUCAUGUCCUUGUCUCCCUCUUUCUUGUCCAGGCAGUCACACAGCACUGAGUGAAAGAUACGAGACACCUCGCCCACCUUCGGUUCCAACUCUGUCACCAGCUUCCUUGUCCUAGACAUGACAAAGAUUAUGUAUGGAGAAAAAGAGAGAGAAUGGUAAACAUCUUGCAGAGACAGAGAAUACUAAGAUACCAACUAGGAGAAGAGUAACUGGGAAUCUGAGUACUGCAGUCAUCUCUGAGGGAACAGAAGGAAGG